rnacentral:misc_RNA from 1 species
UUUUUUUUUUUAAUUUUUAGGCCUAAAAUGUAUCCAAAAGCUCUUCUACUUUAGCUAAAUGCAUAAAUAAGUCCAUCUUUUAGUGUGUUCAAUUGGCCAUGAGGCCAAAUUGGACCUUAAACUUGUAGCCCAUAGUCAGUUUAGUGCUUAUAUUUCAAUUAGAGCCAAUCAAACGCCCAAACUUACUGGUAAUAAUCUAUUUUUAUUAGUAAGUUUGAAUGUUCAAUGCAAAAUGCUUGAUCGUUUGGAUUUGUCUUAUGGUAUUAUGGUUUUCACAUAGUACUUAAUCUCCCUCUGUAAGUUUCUUGCUUUUGCGAUUUUUAUAUACUUUCUACUUUUACUGUAAGGUUGUCAAAAUGAUUUUACUUUUUUCUAAUUCUGCAGGAAAGAGAGAAUUCUGAUCUUGAACUUAUUGCCAUUUUUGUUGCCAACUCUUUGUAAAAUCUUGUAAUAAGGAAAAUUUUUUAUUAGACAUACAUUAUGGGUUGCCCUACUUUCUAAAUUAGAAUUUUAUUUUAUUCAUGUCAUUUUAUUGUUUUAGAUUUCAGAUUGACAUGGUAAGAACUAUAUUUUAAUUAGGUUGUUUUUGUAGACGGAACGAUCUUUCAUUUGUG